UACGGAGGGGGCUAGCGUUGUUCGGAAUUACUGGGCGUAAAGCGCACGUAGGCGGCUUUGUAAGUUAGAGGUGAAAGCCCGGGGCUCAACUCCGGAAUUGCCUUUAAGACUGCAUCGCUAGAAUUGUGGAGAGGUAAGUGGAAUUCCGAGUGUAGAGGUGAAAUCCGUAGAUAUUCGGAAGAACACCAGUGGCGAAGGCGGCUCUCUGGGACGGUACUGACGCUGAGACGCGAAAGCGUGGGGAGCGAACAGG
rnacentral:rRNA from 1 species